rnacentral:rRNA from 1 species
GUGGCGCACGGGUGAGUAAUGCAUAGGUAACGUGCCCCUUAGUCUAGGAUAGCCACUGGAAACGGUGAUUAAUACUGGAUACGCCUUCUCUUUUAAUAAGAGUUGGGAAAGUUUUUCGCUAAGGGAUCGGCCUAUGUUGUAUCAGGUAGUUGGUGAGGUAAUGGCUCACCAAGCCUAUGACACAUAGCGGGUCUGAGAGGAUGAUCCGCCACACUGGUACUGAGACACGGACCAGACUCCUACGGGAGGCAGCAGUGGGGAAUAUUGCACAAUGGAGGAAACUCUGAUGCAGCAACGCCGCGUGGAGGAUGACGCAUUUCGGUGUGUAAACUCCUUUUAUAUGUCAAGAAAAUGACGGUAGCAUAUGAAUAAGCACCGGCUAACUCCGUGCCAGCAGCCGCGGUAAUACGGAGGGUGCAAGCGUUACUCGGAAUCACUGGGCGUAAAGGACGCGUAGGCGGGAUGCCAAGUCUGAUGUGAAAUCCUAUGGCUCAACCAUAGAACUGCAUUGGAAACUGGUAACCUAGAGUAUGGGAGGGGGAGAUGGAAUUAGUGGUGUAGGGGUAAAAUCCGUAGAUAUCACUAGGAAUACCUAAAGCGAAGGCGAUCUCCUGGAACAAUACUGACGCUAAGGCGUGAAAGCGUGGGGAGCAAACGGGAUUAGAUACCCCGGUAGUCCACGCCCUAAACGAUGUUCACUAGUCGUCGGGAUGCUUGUCAUCUCGGUGAUGCACUUAACAGAUUAA